UUCUCAAGGCCGUUUCCUAUUCCUUUCCGUGUUGACAGAAUUACGCCUCCUUGCUGUAGAACUGAGGGCUCCCUUUUCCUGCUGGCUGGCUGGCUGGCUGGCACUGAAGGCCAUUUCAGCUUCUAGAGGGCAGGCACUGCAUUCCCCAGCUCAUGGCAUCUCAGUUCACUUCCUACAUCUGCAACAGCACCACGUCCUCACACUGCACCUCUCUGACCUGGCCAGGGAAGGGUCUCUACUUCUGAGGAUCUGAUUAGGCUGGGCCCACCUCGAUACUCCAGUUGGGUAACCAAACACGUCGGCCACAGCAAAAAAAAUGCAGGAGCGCAAUUAGGGGAAGAGAGAGAAGGAGGGAUCUGACUGCAACCUAUGGUAACACCACAGAGGAGCUUACCUGC